rnacentral:rRNA from 1 species
UACGUAGGUGGCAAGCGUUGUCCGGAAUUAUUGGGCGUAAAGCGCGCGCAGGCGGUCCUUUAAGUCUGAUGUGAAAGCCCACGGCUCAACCGUGGAGGGUCAUUGGAAACUGGGGGACUUGAGUGCAGGAGAGAAGAGUGGAAUUCCACGUGUAGCGGUGAAAUGCGUAGAGAUGUGGAGGAACACCGGUGGCGAAGGCGGCAUCCUGGACCGACAUUGACGCCGAGGAGCGAAAGCCAGGGGAGCAAACGGG